rnacentral:tRNA from 1 species
GGACCCGUAGCCUAGACUGGAUAGGGCACAAGCCUCCUAAGCUUGGGGUCGGGGGUUCAAAUCCCCUCGGGUCCG